rnacentral:rRNA from 1 species
AUACGUAGGGGGCGAGCGUUGUCCGGAAUGAUUGGGCGUAAAGGGCGCGUAGGCGGCCCGGUAAGUCUGGAGUGAAAGUCCUGUUUUUAAGAUGGGAAUUGCUUUGGAUACUGUCGGGCUUGAGUGCAGGAGAGGUAAGUGGAAUUCCCAGUGUAGCGAUGAAAUGCGUAGAGAUUGGGAGGAACACCAGUGGCGAAGGCGACUUACUGGACUGUAACUGACGCUGAGGCGCGAAAGUGUGGGGAGCAAACAGGAUUAGAUACCCUGGUAGUCCACACUGUAAACGAUGAAUGCUAGGUGUAGGGGGUAUCGACCCCUUCUGUGCCGCAGUCAACACAAUAAGCAUUCCGCCUGGGGAGUACGGCCGCAAGGUUGAAACUCAAAGGAAUUGACGGGG